ensembl:lncRNA
GUAUGAUUGUAUACUAUUAGCUGUGUUAUAUUAUUGUUAUGUUAGCUAUGUUGUAUGAUUGUAUACUAUCAGCUGUGUUAUAUUAUUGUUAUGUUAGCUAUGUUGUAUGAUUGUAUACUCUUAGCUGUGUUGUGUUGUAACUGUUCCCUCCCUCUUGUGCCCUCAUGUUAGUUCAACUGGCAGUGUCAACACACUCAUAUAAACACACACACACAAUCUCUGACUCUGACACACACACACACACAAUAUGUCACUCUCUGACACGCGCGCACACACACACACACACAAGUUUGUACAGCUACCCUCAUGGGGACCAGAAAAUAGAAAUUGCAUGCUCCCUUGCCCUAAACCCUAACCCUAAACCUAACCCUAACCUUAACCUCAAUAAAGUAACAUUUAUGCCUAAACUUUACCUAGAUGUAAUGCCUAACCUUAACCCUAAACGUAACCAACAAUGCCUGGACCUUAAAGAAACCCCAAUUCUAACUAUAAAAUCAAUUAUAAGUUUGACCCUAAACCCUGAGCCGGAAAUUGACUUUUGCCUCACGGGGACCGGCAAAAGGUCCCAACGAGGUCAAUUUUUUCUGGUUUUACUAUAUUUAUUGGGACAUUUGGUCCCCAUUCGUUCUGUAAGACCUAACCACAAAAAUACACACACACACACAGUCUGUCACUUUCUGACACACACACAGAUAGAGAGCUGGAUGCUCAAAGUGCAGGAUAGGGUGCAGUGACCGGCAGUUUGGGUUGCAAACACACACACCAUUUAUAAUAACAGACUCUGGAUAUUCAACCACAUAGCACCUAUAGAUCCAUAAUUCUAGAGGCUGAUGAAGGAGGCUGAGGAACCGGGAUCGGUUAAGGGGGCUGUAGUCAUGACAACAGAAUACCAUGACGAUUUCAACAACACAGACACCAGCGAUAUCCGAACCUUGUGGACCAAAGAGCCUGAAUUAGGAAAAGUAGACAGAGAGAAGUGGAAAUGGGCGGGGCCUGUUCUGUGUGCUGCCGUCCUAUUGGCUCUCAUCAUCUCUGUCUCCGUCAGCAAUAUAAAGACAGAUAACAGGUUCUCAUCAGUGGAGAAGAUUGUGGCCAACCUGAGUUCUGUCAUUCAGACCACCACCACCGCUCUAGAACAUAGUAAAGCCUCAGGUAAUCACACAUAUUUCAGCACCCUCACACAUCCUACACACUCACAAACAAACACACACACACCCUCACACAUCCUACACACUCACAAACAAACACACACACACCCUCACACAUCCUACACACUCACAAACAAACACACACACACUCUCACACAUCCUACACACUCACAAACAAACACACACACACCCUCACACAUCCUUCACACUCACAAACAAACACACACACACACUCUCACACAUCCUACACACUCACAAACAAACACACACACACCCUCACACAUCCUACACACUCACAAACAAACACACACACACACUCUCACACAUCCUACACACUCACAAACAAACACACACACACACUCUCACACAUCCUACACACUCACAAACAAACACACACACACACUCUCACACAUCCUACACACUCACAAACAAACACACACACACUCUCACACAUCCUACACACUCACAAACAAACACACACACACCAACUGA